UUUCCUCUAUUGAAUGUAAUACAGUAUAUUUUAUGAAAUUAUCUAUAAAAUAUUGUUCCAUAUCGAUAAAUUUUUAUUAGGUAAAAUAAAGUUAACCAUUUUAUUUUAUUUUUCAAAUUUCUUUCAUAGAGCAGUCUGUUUCCUUACGUUAUCUUAUUUUUGUAAUAUGAGCAGCAAAAUUAUAUUUGUCAAUAUAGUAAAGACGAAUUUGGAGUGUAGAAUGAGUGCAAUUAUUUUAAAAAUAUUCUUGUCAAAUAUAUAUAAAUAUAACUGCACUUGAAUGUCUUUGUAUUGAUUUAAAUAUAAAUAUUAGUAUCCAUGGUAUAUUGCUUACAAAUAAUUGAAAAACCUAACAUACAUAUGCAUUAAUCACCAGAAAUGCUUAAUGUGUUAAUACUCGGUUAUUUAAAAUUCAUAAAAAAAGCUGUUAGGUUCCCUUCAUUAUUAUAAAAAAAAAAAGAAUCAUUGCUGAGUUUUUAUCAUGAUUCAUGUACUUUUUUUUAACUAAUGAAUCGUGACAUAAAAUCUCAGCAUACUGUAACAUUUAUUUUUAUAGAACAUCGAAUAAGCAUCAAUGCUCUUUUGCACUUCCGUAUAGAAAUAAAGAAUCAUUGUAGAAUGUACACAGACUACAAUUAACUAAUACUAAUAAUCGUAAGCUUUAUGGUACUGCAUUCAAAAUAAAAUGGAUAUAUGUUCCAAUGAGAUGUAAAGGAUAUAGCAUCGUAAAUUAUAAAAUAAUUCCUUUAAGGGACGACUGAAAAUGAAUCUAUUUUCUUUUAAUGUAGUUAAAAUAAGCAUUGGCUAAAGAAAAUCAUAUGAUUGCUCACAUUACUAUACGUUAUAUAUUCUGCAAUAUUAUAUCUCUUAUUAAGAUAGAAUAUUUUUACAUUCUUUUUUAUUUUUUUGCGAUGCACAAUGUAAUUAUAAUUUUCAAUGGACUACAUCUAAACAAAAAUUAAGAAACAAUCUUGGUUUAUGAAGAUAUUCACUAUUGAAAAUUAAUUUAAAUAUACCUAAAUAAAUAGUCUAUAACUGGAAUAAGUGCCCGUAUUGCUGUAUUCAAAUAUUGUUAUUUAUUACAAACUGAGUGUUAUAUAAUAUUGCAUUUACAUGUAAAAGUAUGUUAUAUAAAAAAUAACAGAAAUAUUACUAUAUCCGUUAUGAUUUCUGUUAUGAUUCAAGUUAUUUUAUAACACUUCAGUUAUUUUACCCGUAAAUAUUUAAAAUAUAUUUCAUAUUUUUACUAAUUAUUUUAAUGAAAUAUUUCAAUAUUUAAUUAAACGAACAAACAAGUUCAAAGGAUUGUUAAAUGAAAAUUUAGUAAAUCAGUUGAAAAGUUGUAAUAAAUAAUAAAAUUGUCAAUGCAAUUGAUAUCAUUUUUCGUCAUAUAAUUAAGUGUAAUUGGUGUCUAAAAUGAUUAAAUUUUCAUAAAAUUAUGUAUACAAAUUGGCAAUUAUACAUAAGCAUAGCCUAUUACUGUUAAAGAGGAGGUUGAUCUAUAGCUGCAUCUUUAUAAAUGGAGCAACGCAAAUGUGAAAGAAAAUAAACAAAUGAGUAAUAAAUUUAUGUUUCACUAUUUUAAUAGUUAUUAUAUUAGGGAGACAGGAAAGUAAUGUCGUUUCUGCGCAUGUCGAUAUUUGAUUGUGAUUAAAAAUAAAAGCUUGUUAAAAAUUUAUUCGUUUGAAUUUAAUUUAAGAAAGCAACAUUACUUUCCGGUCCACCUAAUAAUUAGUAAAAUAUUCAGGGGCAUAACCAGAAAGGAGGAAGCCUGCUUUUGUAGCUUUUUUGCAUGUUUUUAAAAAAUCUAGUUGUUUAAUUCAAAAAAUAGUUUUAAUUCAAACAAUAGGUUAAAACAUUUUAUAAAUUUAUGGUCUGUCCUGCCAAUUUCUUUCCUGCUCUAACAUUUUAAUCUGUCUGCGCCCUUGAAUACACAUUGUAUGUGAACAUUUAAAAAAAAUUUUUAUAAUAUUCUUGCCAUAUAAAAAAGAAAAAUAAUUCAGUUUUAAAUACUAUUGCUUUAUUUUCAUCUUUGAAUGAACGUUUGUUUUGAUAAAUUACAUUAAAAAGGAAACUAAAAACGUGAAAGUAUUAUAACUUAUACCAUUAAAAUUUACAAUAAUAUUCGAUGUUUAUUAUAUUAAAUCUGAACUCAGAUACUCAUAUUAUCAUUACAUUUUAGCCAUUUAUCUUAAAAUGAUUUCUAAAUUUAUAUAUACGCCGUUUAGAUCUACCUCAUCUCAAACAGUUUCAUGGAUUAUAAUAUGAAGCAUUAUAAUUUCAAAAUAAUUAGCUAUAGAUUCGUGUGCAAGAUGUAGAGAGGCUUUAGAAACAAGAUAAUAUAAAUCGUAAUACAUAUUUGUAUUUAAUUCUGAGUAUUCCUAAAAAGUAUUAUUAUUAUUAUUAUUAUUAUUAUUAUUAUUAUUAUUAUUAUUAUUUUUAUUAUUUUUAUUAUUAUUAUUAUUAUUUUUAUUAUUAUUAUUAUUAUUAUUAUUAUUAUUAUUAUUAUUAUUAUUAUUUACAUAAGAGAAACAAUACAUUAAAAUUCCAUAAAAUUAACAUACUCAUGACUAUUUAUUUAAAAUGUCAUAACAAAUAUAAUUUUAAAUUUACUUAUAUUUUUGAAUGUCUAAUGUACACUAGGAUAUUUUGAUAUCGCUUAUUGUUAAAUAUCGUUGUCAUUAUCAUAAUCUGCAUUAUUAAUGGUAUUCAUAUUAUGAUUAUAAUUAAUAUAAAAAUAAUUAGUAUUACAUUCAAUUAAGAUGCCCGUGCUGAGCAGUAACUUGAAGCAUUCAAUAAAUUUAUCAUUAAUCGACCUACCUAUAAAAUUGAGUAAUAAGCAAAACGAAUUCGAUCGUGCACCUAUAGUGAGCGAAGAGAAGUAUGAUCCCAAAGUUUUAAUAGGAAAUUGGUUUAAUCGUCGCGCAUCUUACAUACCUUUCUUUAAUAAGUGGAUAACACACAUAUAAACUAUAUAUAAGCAACAUUAUAAAUCUUAUGAUAUCAACAUAUACAAGAAAGAUUAAAUACCAUUUUGGGAUAAUAAAAUCAAAAAUGAGGUUUAUUUAGAAGUACAUUAAUGAAUCACCGUGGAAAGUCACAUUACAAAAAUAUGACCACACAUGAUUUAAGCUAUAGAAUUCCUAUCCUAAAAAUCAAAUUUAAGGAUUUACAAUAUAAGGAAAAAUGGAUAGUUACCAGAACAAGAUUUAACUAAAGAUUUCGGAAAUUUAACAAAAAUUGGUAUAAAGGAUGCAUUAUAAGUUUGGUGGGACAGUACUUCAAAUGAAGCAAUAAAAUUCUGCUGAUGGAGAAAUGAGUGCAAAACUUAUGAUAUUUCACUUAUAAAGAAAAAAUAAUUACGAGGCUCUUAAUAAUACGUUGUGAUAUAUUGGCAGUAUAUGUAAUGUUAUCUAUAGACAGCAAACAGAGAAAUCACAUACUGUAGUCAGAGGUAAUUAUGAAAAAAAGUAAAACAAAAAAAAAUAUGUUUUGGCUAUUAAUACUUUUCAACGCAACAAAGUGGUACACACCACAACCAUAUUUAAUAUAAGUGAACCACAUAACAAUGCAUGUAACCAGAUAGGAUUGGUUGAUACUGUUGUGCAAGUUGGAUAAGUUUGUAUAUUCAUUGAAUUUCCUAUUUCAUCUGUGCUUAUUUUUGAAUGUUGUGAACAACAUUCAUCAAAAAUUGUAUUAUUCUUUGGAAAAUGCGCUGUUAACGUUUGUUGAGGAAAUGAAUGUGAGAAUUUCAAUGUUUGAUGGCAUAUUGAACUUUUCGGUUUUAUGAAAGAACAUGAUUGAGUAGGCUGACAAAAACGUCUAACGGAUUUUAUAGUAUUUUGCUUGUGACCAUAAUAUGACAAUGAUGCAUCCGAGAUAAUUGAACAUUGAUCAAAUUCGUGAAUAGAGGGUUCUCUGGAAGGAGCACAGUUAGAACCAACAGAACCAAAACCAGAACUUUGACUGGAUGACCUUGAUAAUGAUGGUGCAUCCAUACCUCCUUGCCAAUAUCCACCAGCAACCCAUGAUGUUUGUGUUACUGAUUUUAAUUUAGGUGGUGAUAAAAUAUUCUUUUUACCGAAGGUAUUAUUUGAUCUUUUAAAUAAAUCGGAACUAACUGUA